GGGAGUAGCUCAGUUGGUAGAGUCCAAGCUUCCCAAGCUUGUUGUCGCGGGUUCGAAUCCCGUCUCCC
rnacentral:tRNA from 1 species